rnacentral:rRNA from 1 species
UGAGGAAUAUUGGUCAAUGGACGCAAGUCUGAACCAGCCAAGUAGCGUGCAGGAUGACGGCCCUAUGGGUUGUAAACUGCUUUUAUAUGGGGAUAAAGUGGGGAACGUGUUCCCUUUUGCAGGUACCAUAUGAAUAAGGACCGGCUAAUUCCGUGCCAGCAGCCGCGGUAAUACGGAAGGUUCGGGCGUUAUCCGGAUGUAUUGGGUUUAAAGGGAGCGUAGGCCGUUUGGUAAGCGUGUUGUGAAAUGUAGGAGCUCAACUUCUAGAUUGCAGCGCGAACUGUCAGACUUGAGUGCGCACAACGUAGGCGGAAUUCAUGGUGUGGCGGUGAAAUGCUUAGAUAUCAUGAAGAACUCCGAUUGCGAAGGCAGCUUACGGGAGCGCAACUGACGCUGAAGCUCGAAGGUGCGGGUAUCGAACAGG